UCGAGAAUCUUCCGCAAUGGACGCAAGUCUGACGGAGCGACGCCGCGUGCGGGAUGAAGGCCUUCGGGUUGUAAACCGCUGUCAGUGGGGAGCAAAUGCAUUGGGGCUAUCUCCUAUGCUUGAGCAAUCCGCAGAGGAAGUACGGGCUAAGUUCGUGCCAGCAGCCGCGGUAACACGAACCGUACGAACGUUAUUCGGAAUCACUGGGCUUAAAGAGUCCGUAGGCGGCUAGGAAGGUGAGGUGUGAAAUCCCACGGCUCAACCGUGGAACUGCGCUUCAAACCACUUGGCUAGAGGGAGAUAGAGGAGAGCGGAACUCACGGUGGAGCGGUGAAAUGCGUUGAUAUCGUGAGGAACACCGGUGGCGAAAGCGGCUCUCUGGGUCUCUUCUGACGCUGAGGGACGAAAGCUAGGGGAGCGAACGGGAUUAGAUACCCCCGUAGUCC
rnacentral:rRNA from 1 species